CACUCGAAACUAUUACUGGAUAUUUAUAUUUUAUGCAAAAAAAGAAUUUGGAAAAAAACACCGAAAAGAGAGCUUGAAAUUUUAUGCUUGGAGUUCGUCUUGCACAGAUUCAUCCUCCGUUUCACCAUUUCAUGGCUUCACUGUCAAGUACGACCCACCCAUUCCCGCCAUCGGUACGGUCACAAUGUACACCUAGUUGGCAAUCAGCUCUCAAGAAUGUCCUUCUUAUGGUGUUGGCAAAAUAUUAAUUAUUUGCCAGCAGAUAGUACAAAGGCUGUUCUAGGAUUCUUCUGGUUGCUAGCAGAUGGUACAAAGGCUGUUCUAGGAUUCUUCUGAUUGGUCCUCUAACAUGUAAAUAGGCUUAACAUUGUAAACUAAAUUUCGUACAAAAAUUCAGUAGUUAGGACUAUUUUUGAUGUGGUUAUAAAUCUAUGAAUAUAUUCAAUUGAAUUGGUCAAUAAGUUUCACUGAUUGACCUGCCUUAAUUUUAA